AUUGAACGCUGGCGGCAGGCUUAACACAUGCAAGUCGAACGAGAGGCGGACGGGUGAGUAAUGUAUGGGAACCUGCCUGAUGGAGGGGGAUAACUACUGGAAACAGUAGCUAAUACCGCAUACCAUCAGAUGUGCCGAGAUGGGAUUAGCUAGUAGGUGGGGGAAUGGCUCACCAAGGCGACGAUCCCUAGCGGGUUUGAGAGGAUGACCAGCCACACUGGAACUGAGACACGGCCCAGACUCCUACGGGAGGCAGCAGUGGGGAAUUUUGCACAAUGGGAGAAAGCCUGAUGCAGCCAUGCCGCGUGUGUGAAGAAGGCCUUCGGGUUGUAAAGCACUUUCAGCAGAGAGGCGGUACUUGCAGAAGAAGCACCGGCUAACUCCGUGCCAGCAGCCGCGGUAAUAC
rnacentral:rRNA from 1 species